CCUACGGGAGGCAGCAGUGAGGAAUAUUGGUCAAUGGGCUUACGCCUGAACCAGCCAAGUCGCGUGAGGGAAGACUGCCCUAUGGGUUGUAAACCUCUUUUGUCAGGGAGCAAAUGGCGCUACGUGUAGCGUUAUCGAGAGUACCUGAAGAAAAAGCAUCGGCUAACUCCGUGCCAGCAACCGCGGUAAUACGGAGGAUGCGAGCGUUAUCCGGUUUUAUUGGGUUUAAAGGGUGCGUAGGCGGACCGCCAAGUCAGCGGGAAAAUCGCGGGGCUCAACCUCGCUCCGCCGUUGAAACUGGCGUUCUUGAGUGGGCGAGAGGUAUGCGGAAUGCGUGGUGUAGCGGUGAAAUGCAUAGAUAUCACGCAGAACUCCGAUUGCGAAGGCAGCAUACCGGCGCCCAACUGACGCUGAAGCUCGAAAGCGUGGGUAUCGAACAGGAUUAGAUACCCUAGUAGUC
rnacentral:rRNA from 1 species